GAAUUCCCUUCGGGGACAUAUAGACAGGUGGUGCAUGGUUGUCGUCAGCUCGUGUUGUGAGAUGUUAGGUUAAGUCCUGCAACGAGCGCAACCCUUAUGAACAGUUGCCAAUAUUAAGUUAGGAACUCUGUUCAGACUGCCGAGGUUAACUCGGAGGAAGGUGGGGAUGACGUCAAAUCAUCAUGCCCCUUACGUCUUGGGCUACACACGUGCUACAAUGGCUACUACAAAGGGCAGCGAGCUGGUAACAGUAAGCCAAUCUCAAAAAAGUAGUCUCAGUUCGGAUUGUGGGCUGCAACCCGCCCACAUGAAGUUGGAGUUGCUAGUAAUCCCGAAUCAGAAUGUCGGGGUGAAUGCGUUCCCGGGUCUUGUACACACCGCCCGUCACGCCAUGGGAGUUGGGAGUACCCAAAGUCGGUGAGCUAACCUGCAAAGGGAGCAGCCGCCUAAGGUAAGACCGAUGACUGGGGUGAAGUCGUAACAAGGUAGCCGUAUCGGAAGGUGCGGUUGGA
rnacentral:rRNA from 1 species